rnacentral:rRNA from 1 species
AGUGAACGCUGGCGGUAGGCCUAACACAUGCAAGUCGAACGGCAGCACAGUAAGAGCUUGCUCUUACGGGUGGCGAGUGGCGGACGGGUGAGGAAUACAUCGGAAUCUACUUUUUCGUGGGGGAUAACGUAGGGAAACUUACGCUAAUACCGCAUACGACCUACGGGUGAAAGCAGGGGAUCUUCGGACCUUGCGCGAUUGAAUGAGCCGAUGUCGGAUUAGCUAGUUGGCGGGGUAAAGGCCCACCAAGGCGACGAUCCGUAGCUGGUCUGAGAGAAUGAUCGGCCACACUGGAGCGUAGACACGGUCCAUGCUCCUACGGGAGGCAGCAGUGGGGAAUAUUGGACAAUGGGCGCAAGCCUGAUCCAGCCAGACCGCGUGGGUGAAGAAGGCCUUCGGGUUGUAAAGCCCUUUUGUUGGGAAAGAAAAGCAGCAGGUUAAUACCCCGCUGUUCUGACGGUACCCAAAGAAUAAGCACCGGCUAACUUCGUG